CCUUAGAAAUCAUUCAAGGGGCGCGAGCCUCUCCUUUCUGGAUGGGGUCCGUUUGGCAUUGUCCAAAAAUCUGGGGCUGUUUAGAAAAUUCAUGGGUUCGUUUUUAGUGUUUUGCAAGUUAGAAAAUUCGCUUUUUUCCUCAUUAUUAUUAUUAUUACUAUCAUCAUCAUCAUCAUCAUCCUCCUCUUCCUCCUCCUCCUCCCCAUUUUUUAACAUAUUGGCAGAAGAACUAGGGCACAUAAAAGGGAGAAAAAAUAAAUCAAAGGAAGUCGAGAAAUUUUGGAAAACUCAAGAACAAGCCUUCAAGAAUCCGACAAAAAGAAAGGUUUUAUCUUUAAUCUUGUUUUUCAUCCAUUAUUAUCUCUAAUUUGUAAUGUACUGUUAUAAAUAUUCUGCUUUUUAUGAAAUGUAUAAAAUGAGCUAAUUUCUUCUUUUAAUAUAAAGUACUUAUUUUUUGUGUGUAUUUAUUAUUGUAUUGAAUGUCUUUUUUAUUUAUUUGACCAUCAAAUGAUUGAGUUUAGUGAUUUGUAUAGUGUUUAAGAAAAUAAUGUACAUUUCAAACCAAAUAGUAAAUACCCUAAGUUUUUGUACUAGAUAGAGAUAUAUACCUAAAUCUAAGUGACCCUUUAAACUAUUUUUAAAAAAUUAUUACAAUUUGUUCUGUUUUAUUCGACAUAGAAAUAUAUAGGUUAAACUAGUCAAUUAAGACUAAUUUCACUUGAGAAAAGUAAUUAGUUAAAAUUGAAAAAUCGGAUCUAACAUACAAAAUGAGUAAUUUGUUAAUUUGCUUGUGAAUAAAUUAAUCAAGUGAAUGUUAAGUGAAAUCAUAAAUCCCAAUUAUUUUAUCUUUCCAAUUUUCCCUGAUUUUAGGUUUGUUAUUUUGUAAAGUUUUUAGUUAUUUUCUUUAUUUCUCAAAUCAUAUUUUAUUGCGUAUUAUAUUGUUAGAAUUAAAUUAACUACUAUGUAAUGACGUAAAUAUUUCUCGAGAGAUUGACAAUAUAGACAUACCACUACUAAAAAACAUGGCUUCAGGCACGAAUUUUUCGUUCUUAAAUAUCCGUUGCUAUUACUCUUUACCAACGGAAUAUUUGCAAUCACUAAUCCAUUGUUAAUUUGAGGUUCGCUGAUAGUUAUCAAUGGAUUGUGCUGUAGGUAAAGAGUAAACAUUUUACCAACGAAAAUUUCGUUGGUAAUGUGUGAAUUUUUUACCAACGGAAUUUCCGUUGGUAAAAAUCUUAACAAGUACCAACCGAUUUUUCGUUGGUAAAUGUCUACCAUUACAAUUAAUAAAAAUCAAUGUUGUAAAUAGUCAUAUAGGUGUGAGGUAUGGUAAAAAAAAUAAUUAUUUAAUUUUUUUUUAUUGUUAUUAUUAUUUAUUUAAUAAUUAUAAUUUUUUUAAAACUUUUUUAAACAAUUGAAUUGAAAAGUCAAAAUAUUGUUUAACCACUUAUUGGACCACAAAUUUAUAGAGGACAACUCCAAAAACUUUGUUGUAAACUUUCGAUGUGGGGGUAAUUGAAUUAAUUUUAUCAACGGAUAAUCCGUUUUUAAUUAUCAACGGAAUAUCCGUAGGUGAAAGAUUUAAAUAUUAAACGGUCAUAUUAGACACAGAAUAUCUGUUGGUAAAGAGAUAUUAUCAUUACCAAUGAAAAAUUCGUUGCUGAUUAUCGUAGUUGAAAGUGAAUUAUUUUUUACCAACGGAUAAUUCGUUUAUAAUUACCAACGGAUUGUUUUCGUUGGUAAUAUUUGGUACGUCACCUACGGAAUAUCUGUAGGUGAAAGAUCCAAAUAUUAAACGGUCACAUUAGGCACGGAAUGUCCGUUGGUAAAAUGAUAUCCUUGUGACCAACGGAAAAUCCGAUACUGAUUAUCGUAGUUAAAAGUGAAUUACUUUUAUCAACGAAUAAUCCGUUUCUAAUUACCAACGGAUGCAAUCCGUUGGUAAUUUUUCGUAGAUGAAAAACUGUUUUUUAGUAUUGUACAAGUCUACUUUAUUACUUGAACAUGAUUCGUGCACUUACAGUUUGUAAUUUUAGCAAACAAUUGUCAUUUUUUUAUUGGGGUAUCGAUUUAACUCUAAAUAUUCUUGGUUAUCUUUAAUAAUAUUUAAAAAAAAAUGAUCUAAAAUAUUAUGUUUCAUUAUUUUGUAUUGACAAAAGCGAUAGAAUUUAAGGCAACUGACAAAUUCUACAAAUUGACGAAUAUAAUAGAAUUCGAAGAAACUUCAUUUCCUCUUAAAAUAUUAAAUGCAGGAAAUAUAAAGUUUUCCAUUCAAUUCCAAACUAGAGAAAAGAACCAAGAUACUCCAAUACAUUCAAAUUUUUAACCGAGGUGUGCAAGAGACAAAAUUGUGAAAUCUCCAUGUUGAACUUCUUGUUCUAGAUUUUUAGUAAAACUUGGCUUUUACGUCGAGUGUGGACCUCUGUAAUACAAAUACUCAAUACUAUGUCACGCUUUGACUUCUUGGUAACAAAUUUGGAUUGAGCAAGGUCUCUAAAUGUAGUAAGAAUAUACUCUCAUCAACUCUAGGUAAUCUUUAAAGAAAUUUGAAACAAAUAAAUGAGCUAAGAUAUUAUGUUUUAUUAUCUGAUAUUGACGAAAUUAAUAGAAUUUGAAUAAAUUUCGUUGCUAGUAUACGAACACUCAAUUUGUGUUGUUGUAUGAUCUCUAAGUAACAGCUUUGAAACGAUCACGGUCUUUUAAAGAAGCAAAAAUAUAUUUUCAUCAAUUCUAGGCUCAUACGAGAGGGUGUAAAGAAAAACAAACGUGAAAUUGGUGAAAAUGGCACCCCUAUCAUUUAAAACGAACAAGGGUCGUCUUUGUUCUCGGGGUCUCGAUUUCACCAUUUCUUAUUUCAAUUCUCUUUCCUUUUCAAAUCUAUGUUCUCUUUUUCUCUACCUAAAAGGUUUUUCUAACUCGGAUCUAAUUGUAAGAACUCCAGUUUGUUGGAAUUUUAGAUAUAGUGCUACGCAAUCACCAUUAAAGAGCACAAAUGACAAUAAAUGUCAUGUAGAUGGUAUAGGUUGCCAAAAGCAAAGUAAAGGUUUGAAUUUAAUUAAGAAUCAAUAAAAUUCAAUUUAGCCCCUGUUUCAGCUCAAUUGUAAUUAGUUUUUGGGAAAAAAGUAUAUUUCAUAACAGUGAUUUUUUGAAGAAAGUGUAGCUAAGAAAGAAUGAAAAGUUUUGAAUUUAAACGUAAUAUUAUUUUAUUGGAGAUUGUGUGGUUGAAAGGGAAAUAGAAACAAUACAUUAUGGAAUUGAUGGAGCCCAAAGGGGCUUAAUAAUUUUAUUCUCAUGGGGAAGAAACUCAAAACGAAAAAGGGGAAACUGGUUUAAUCAUAGCCAUCCAAGUAAUGAAUAAAUAGCCAAUUGGAGGUUGCCAUGUGGCCUUUGGGGGGGUGGGGGGUGGGGGGGGGGGCAAGAUCCNNNNNNNNNNNNNNNNNNNNNNNNNNNNNNNNUGGGGUGGAGGGCACAAUCCAAAUGAUGAAUAAGUAGCCAAUUAAAGGUUACCAUGCGACAUUCCUAUCAACAAUUUUACCUAAAUACCAUCAGUUAAUUGUUAUUUAUUAAAACACCCAGUUCCAUUUCUUUAAACAAAAUUCUUGCAAGUCCCUUUUUCGUUUUCAUUCUAUCCCAGUUCUUUUUCUCAAUGGCAUUGGACUAUCACGCAAAUCGGCCGAACAAAUUCUUGAAGAUUCAAUGCCAAGUUCCUAUCUUUCUCAAGAUAUUAUAUUUGAAAUACCUUUAAAACUGUCGUUGAAAUUUAUUGUAAAAUUUUCAUGCAUAUGUAAAUCUUGGUGUGCUUUAAUUUUUUGUCCUGAAUUUGUUAAAUUCCGUAUCAAGAUUUCAUUACGAAGGAACGAAGCUAUUAAACUCUCUUUUGGAAGCUGCACGGGAAAUAGGAUAAUCUUUCGUUCUUGUUAUUUUGAUUCUUUUAUGAAUCAAAUAAAAUGUAUAAAUUCUUCAGUGAUCUAUAGUGCUAAAAUGGUCGAUUCUUUAAAAAUAUAUGUUCUGUGAAUGGACUACUAUGUGUAUCAGUUAAAACACAUAAAAUUUUCCUUCGGAACCCAACCCUAAGAAAAUUGAAAUGCUUACAACCAUCAGGUUAACUUCCUGGACUUGUCAAUUUGAAUUACGAAUUUGGCUUUGGUUAAAAAAAAAAAAAAAAAAACAAUGGCUACAUGGUUGUCAAAAUGUGUAGUUUAAUUGUUGGUGAUGAUCACAUAGCUAGUGUGAAUGUGUACAACUCAAGAGAUGAUUCUUGGAGGACAGUUAAUGACUGAAAGAUGUUCUACUUUUGGAAGCACCUGUGUGCAUCAAUGCAGCAUUUCAUGGGCCAGGUAAAUCCUCGCUUCCAAGAUAUACGAAUUCACUGAAUUUGUAACUUUAAUGUGUGGAAUAGUACCUGUUUUAAGAAAACAAGUCACCCAAAUGGGCUGACUUAACCCAGAUGCAUGUAGUAGUUUAGAAGGAGAAGUUAAGGUUUUAAAGUUGAAAAUAUAAACUCCCACCACCUCUAACUUCCAUAAUACACACUCCAUCAAAAUCCAUGUAAGAGACAAUACAAAAUUCGUAUGUGAAGGAAAUGUGAAAGACACAUAAGUGUUGUGACAUGUUUUGGAAUAUUUACAUGCCUAAAUUGGUACUUAGAUUAUGACUAUCGAAUUUCUUCCUUUGUGAUUCAAUUUAUGACCAAAAGCUAGAUACAAGACAGUGUGAAAGGCAAGUAAUUCAACCUUAUUUUUGCAAUUUCAAUAAGUUCUACCUCUCCAAACUCGGUCGAAAGCAUGCUAGUAAGAUUUAAAUUGAUAUCAGAGCCUCAGUAGUAAUACGUGUUGUAAAUGAUUUGGAAUGAUCGAAAAGCAUGAUUUUCAAUUUUCUCUUGAAGUUUAAUCAUCAUUAAUGGUAAUUUUUGAUACACUCUAAAUAAAUUCAUAAAAUUUAUACCAUAUGUUUAUGAUAUCAUGUAGAAUAUCUUUGUACAAUUUCAUGUCAUUUGGCUUUGUUAAAAAGAAAGAAAAUUGUUGGAUUUAUGUAUAAUAUUAUUUUAUUGAAAAAUGUAUGGUUGAAAAGAGGAGGAAAGAAAUGUAUUUGGAAAUAAUUGAAGCCAAAAUAGGCGCUUAAUAAUCUUAUUCUCAGUGAGAGGGAAACUCAAAACAAAGUAGGAAAAUCUGGUUUAAACACAGUCAUCCAUGGGAUCUAAUAGAUCACAUUAGAGUUGGGAAAGCACAAUCCAAGUAAUGAAUAAUUAGAUAAUUGGAGAUUACCAUGUAGUCUUCCUUCCAAACAGUUUACGAAAAUAUCCAUAGUCAGUUGUUAUUUAUUGAAACACCCAGUUCUUUUGUCAUUUUUAAACACAAUUCUUGCAAGUCCUUUUUUUUUUUUUUCAUUCUAUCCCAAUUUUUUUUUAAUUUUUUUUUUUCAAUGGCAUUGAAAUAUAAUGCAAAUCGGCUUGAAUGAAUUUUUGAAGAUUCAAUGUCAAGUCCCAAUCUCCCUCAGUAUAUGAUAUCUGCGAUACUCUUAAAACUAUCAGUGAAAUUCAUUGUAAAAUUUUCAUGCAUAUGUAAAUCUUGAUGUGCUUUAAUUUUUAGUCCUGAAUUUGUUAAAUGAUAUAUCAAGAUUUCAUUACAAAGGAAUGAAGCCAUUAAACUCGCAUUUGGAAGCUACGCAAAAAUUAGGGUAAUCUUCCAUUCCUGUUAUGCUAAUUCUUUUAUGAAUCAAACAAAAUGUAUAAAUUUUUCGAUGAUCUUUGGUGCUAAAAUGAUCAAUUCUUUAAAAUCAUAGAUUCUGUGAAUGGACUAUUAUGUGUACUAGUUAAAACACGUAAAAUUUGCCCGCAGGGCAUAUCUCUCAGUGGUAAAGGGAAGGGCGGAUAGGGCUCAGCGCGGCAGUGUGCAGAGUUCGAUUCCCCGCAAAGUAGAAUUGGCUUUGUUGCAAGCGAGAGUUACCAUAUGGGUUAACAGCCUUGGCCUAUCCAUGUACUCUCCAUCCUGACUCCUAGGAGGCACAUCCUGCGAUUUACCUCCUCCACGAUGGCUCAGGACAGGGUCGAUGGGGGCCCUUAAGGUUCGGGUUCAACCUUUUUUUUAAAACACGUAAAAUUUUCCUGUGGAAAUGUGUAAUUUAAUCAUCAGAGAGGAGUACGUAGCCAGUGUGAAGGUAUACAGCAUUAUUAAUGAUUCUUGGAGGGCAGUUCAUGACUGAAAAAAGUUGUAUUUUUGGCAGCUUCUAUAUGCGUCAAUGUAUCAUUUUCUUGGCCAGAUAACUCCUUACUCCCAAGGUAUAUGAAUUCACUGAAUUUGAUAACUCUGAUGUACGGAGAAAUACCUGUUGGAAGAAAAUGGGGCGCCCAAGUGGGCUGAUCCGACUUAGAUGCACAUAAUAGUUUGGAGGAAGACAUUGAGGAAGCUGAGGUUUUAAAUUUGAAAAUAUAACCUUCUACAACUUCUAACUUUCAUAAUAUACUCACUCCACCAAAAACCAUGUAAGAGUCAAUGCAACAUUCAUAUGUGAAGAAAAUGUGAAAAACACAUAAGGGUUGUUACUUGUUUUGGAACAUUUACAUAUCUAAAUUGGUACUUGAUUUUGAAUUUUUGACUGAAAGGUAAGUACAAGGACCGUAAAAAACAAGCAAAUCAAAGGGGGGUAAUUCAACCUCGUUUUUGCAAUUUCAAGUAAGUUCUACCAUUCCAUACUCAGUAGAAAGCAUGCUAGUACAAUUUACAUUGAUAUCAAAGCCUAAGUAAUUUUUCCCCCUUAAAUACGUGUAGCAAGUGGUUUAGAAUGAUCGAAAAGCAUAAUUUUCGAUUUUUCCUUCAAGCUUAAUUAUCGUUAAUGGUGACUUUUGAUAUACUCCAUAUAAAUUCAUGAAAUUCAUACCAUAUGUUCAUGAUAUCAUGUGGAACAUCUCUAUACAAUUUCAAGUCAUUUGACUUUGUUAAAAAGAAAGAAAAAUUUUAAAUCUAUGUAUAAUAUUAUUUAUUGAAAAAUGUGUUAUUGAAAAUAAGAGGAAAAAUGCAUUUUGGAACUAUUGGAGCCCAAACAAAGGCUUAAUAAUCUUAUUCCUAGGAAGAGGGAAACUCAAAACCAAGUAGGAAAAUCUAGUUUAAUCACAGCUACCCAUGAAAUCCGAUGGCUCACAUUAGAGUUAGGAAAGCACAAUCCAAGUGAUGAAUAAGUAGCCAAUUGGAGGUUACCAUGUGACCUUUCUUGUAAACAGUUUACCAAAUAUCCGUAGUCAAUUGUUAUUUAUUAAAACGACCACUUCUUUUGUGUUUUUUAACACAAUUCGUCCAAGUCCCAUGUUUUUGUUUUCGUUCUAUCUUACUUCUUUUGUUUCAAUGGCGUUGGAGUAUCAUGCAAAUCAGGCCAAACGAAUUCCUGAAGGUUCAAUGCCAAUUCCUGAUCUUUCUCAAAAUAUGAUUUCUAAGAUUCUCUUAAAACUGUCGAUAAAAUCUAUUGUAAAAUUUUCAUGUGUAUGUAAAUCUUGGUGUUCUUUAAUUUUUUAGUCCUGGAUUUCUUAAAUGCCAUAUCAAGAUUUCACUAUAAAUGAAUGAAGCCACUAAACUCUCGUUUGGAAGCUGCACCAAAAGAUAGUGUAAUCCUUCGUUCAUGUUAUCUUGAUUCUUUUAUGAACAAAAUAAAAUGAAUAAAUUUUUUUUGGGGAACUGUAGGGCUAAAAUGAUCAAUUCUUUAAAAAUCAUAAAUUCUGUGAAUGGACUAUUAUGUGUAUCAGUUAAAACAAAUAAAAAUUUUCUCUGGAACCCAACCUUAAGAUAUGUGUAGUUUAAUCGUCAACGAGAAGCAUGUAACUACUGUAAAGGUAUACAACUUAAGAGAUGAUUCUUGGAGGAUAAUUAAUGAAUGGAAAAAAGUUCUGCUUUUGACGGCUUCUAUGCACAUCAAGAAGCAUUUUAUUGGCCAGAUAACUCAUUGCUCCCAAGAUUUAUGAAUUCAUUGAAUUUGGUAACUCUGAUGCACGGAGAAGUACUCCUUGGAAGAAAAUGGGACGCCCAAGUGAGCUGACCUGACGCACAUAAUAGUUUGGAGGGAGAUGUUGAGGAAGUUGAGGUUUUAAAUUUGAAAACAUAACCUACCACCUCUAACUUCCGUAUUACACUCACUUCACCAAAAACCAUACAAGAGACACUAUAAAAUUCGUAUCUAAAGAAAAUGUGGAAAAUAUAUAAGGGUUGUGACUUGUUUUGAAAUAUUUACAUAUCUAAAUUGGUACUUAGUUUGUGACUAUCAAAUUCUUUCCUUUGUGAUUGAAUUUCUAAUCGAUAAGUAGGCACAAGGUUGUGUGAAAAGCAAGAAAAUCAAAGGUGAGUAAUUCAACCACGUUUUUGCAAUUUCAAGUUCUACAAAUCCAGCAUACUAGUAUGAUUUACAUUGAUAUCAUAGCCGAAUGAGGUUUUUUUACUUAAAUAUGUGCAGUAAGUGGUUUAAAAUGAUCGAAAAGCAUGAGUUUUUAUUUAUCCUUCAAUCUUGAUCAUCGUUAAUGUCCAUAUAAAUUCAUGAAAUUUAUACCAUAUGUUUACGAUAUCAUGUGGAACAUCUCUGUACAAUUUCAUGUCAUUUGGCUUUGUAAAAAAGAAAGAAAAUUUUAAAUUUAUGUAUAAUAUUAUUUAUUGAAAAAAUGUGUAGUUGAAAAGAAGAGGAAAAAAUACCUUUUGAAAUUAUUAGAGCCCAAAGAGGGGCUUAGUAAUCUUAUUAUGAGGGAGAGAGACUCAAAACCUAGUAGGAAAAUCGGGUUCAAUCACAGCCAUCUAUGGAAUCCAAUAGCUCAUAUUAGAGUUGGGAAAGCACAAUACCAUUGAUGAAUAAGUAGCCAAUUGGAGGUUACCAUGUGACCUUCCUUCCAAACAGCUUAUCAAACAAUCCGUAGUCAAAUAUUAUUUAUUGAAAAAUCCAAUUCUUUUACCAUUUUAAACAAAAUUCUUUUAAGUCCCUUUUCCGUUUUCAUUAGAUGUUAGUUUUUUACAUUCAUCGAGUUAUGUUCUUAGGCACUUAUCAAUUUGAAUUAUCGAUUAGGCUUCGAUUAAAAAAACCAAUGAUUACAUGGUUGUUGAAAUGUGUAGUUUAAUCAUCGGUGAGGAGCACAUAGCUAGUAUGAAGGUGUACAGCUUAGGAAAUGAUUCUUAGAAAAAAGUUCUGCUUUUGGCAGCUCCUAUGUGUGUCUUUGUCUCAUUUCAUUGGCCAGGUAACUCCUUGUUCUCAAUGCAUAUGCAAAUUCUCAUUCAUCCUCGAGAUAUGAUAUCUAAGAUAUUAUUCAAACUCUCGGUAAAAUCUAUUGUAAAAUUUUAAUGUGUAUGUUAAUCUUGGUAUGCUUUAAUUUUUAAUCCUGAAUUUGUUAAAUGUCAUACCUAAAUUUUGCUACAAAGGAACGAAGCCACCAAUUCAGCUUUGAUUAAAAAAAUUCAAUGAUUACAUGAUUGUCGAAAUGUGAAGUUUAAUCGUCGGUGAGGAGCACGUAGCUAGUAUGACGUUAUAUAGUUUAAGAAAUGAUUCUUGGACGAUAGUUAAUGACAGAAAAAAAGUUCUACUUUUGGCAACUCCUGUGUGCAUCAACAUAUCAUUUCAUUGGCCAAGUAACUCCUUGUUCUCAAGGUGUAUACGAAGUCCCGAUCUUUCUCAAGAUAUGGUAUCCGAGAUGUUCUUCAUACUGUCGGUGAAAUCUAUUGGAAAAUUUCCAUGCGUAUAUAAAUCAUGGUGUGCUCUAAUUUUUAGUCGUGAAUUUAUUAAAUGCCAUAUUUAGAUUUCAUUGCAAAGGAAUUUGUUAAAUGUCAUAUUUAGAUUUCACUGCAAAGGAACGAAGUCGCUAAACUCGCUUCUAUAAGCUGCACAGAAAAUAGGGUAGUCCUCCGUUCUUAUUAUCUUGAUUUUUUUAUGAAUCAAAUGAAACAUUUAAAUUCUUCGGUGAUCUGUGGUGCUAAAAUGAUCGAUUCUUUAAAAAUCAUAGGUUCUAUGAAUGGACUAUUUUGUGUAAUAGUUUAAACAUACAAAAUUUACCUCUAGAACCAAACUUUAAGAAAGUCGAAAUGUUUACAAUCGUUUAGUUAAGUUCUUGUGCUUGUCAAUUUGAAUUAUCGAUUUGGGUUUGAUUAAAUAAAUCCAAUGAUUAAAUGAUUUUUGAAAUGUGUAGUUCAAUUGUCGGUGAGGAGCACUUAGUUAGUAUAAAGGUGUACAACUUAAGAAAUGAUUCUUAGACGAUAGUUAAUGACUGAAAAAAGGGUUUUGCUUUUGGCAGCUCUUGUGUGCAUCAAUGUAGCAUUUCAUUGGCCAGGUAACUUCUUGCUCUCACGGUAUAUGCUAAGAUCCGAUCUUUCUCAAGAGUUGAUAUCUGAGAUAUUCUUCAAGCUGUCGGUGCAAUCUAUUGCAAAAUUUUCAUGUAUAUAUAAAUCUUGGACCUGAAUUUGUUAAAUGUCAUAUAUAGAUUUCAUUACAAAGGAGCAAAGCCACUAAACUCACUUUUGAAUACUUUUAACACUGUCGCUGAAGUCAAUUGUCAAAUUUUCAUACGUCUUAAAUCCUGGUUUGCUCUAAUCUUUAGCCCUGAAUUUGUGAAAUGUCAUCUUAAGAUUUCACAACAGAAGAAGAAAGCUACAAAACUUGCAUUUGGAGGCUACACAGGGAAUAGGUAAUCCUCCGAUCCUGUUGUCUUGAUUCUUUUAUGAAUCAAUUGAUCGAUUCCUUAAAGAUCAUAGGUUCUCUUAAUGGACUAUUAUGUGUAUUUGUUAGAACACAUAAAGUUUUGCCUUGGAACCCAACUUUAGGAAAAUUGGAAUUUUUUACCAUCAUCGAGUUCUCGUGGGCUUAGCGAUGUGCAAUAUGGUUUUGGCUUUGGUGAAAAAAUGAUGAUUAAUGGUUGUUGAAAUGUAUAAUGUAAUUGUUGGUAAGAAUCACGUAGAAAAUGUGAAGGUAUAUAGUUUAAGAAGUGAUUCUUGGAUAAUGAGUGGAAAAGUACUUAUGAAUUUGGUAAUUCCUCUGUGUGUCAAUGGAACAUUUCAUUGGCCGAGUAAAUAUGAGCUCCCAAGGUAUAUGAAUUAACUGAAUUUGGUAACUCUAAUGUAUGGGAAAGUACCUAUGCCCAAAUGUGACACGGUCUUAGAAAUUUUUCAUUGGGAGUCUUGAGGGAGUGCCUUUGUUCGUUUUGUAAAUAUAAUACAAGGUUGGAUGUAUAGAUGAUGAAUGAAUAUGGAAUUGACAAACCUUGGAAAAGAUUCACUUGCAUUAUGGAUGUUGAGAAUUAUUCAUCCGACAAACUGUUACCGUUUUAUGUGUCGAAAGAUGCAGAAUUCUUAAUGACUUAUAGGCCAGUUUUGAAGUCAUACAAUUCAAGUGCUAAAACAUCCAAUCUCCACGAAAAUUCUUUUGUUGAUAAGCUUAUUUCUUGAAGCAGAUACCUAUAGUGAAAGUCUUGUUUUGCCCAGUUUUAACCAUGAAGGACACCCACUGUCUACAUUGUCAUAAUAUUAAUAAUUUCUUGUUAAUGUUUCGGUAGAUUAUUGCAUGGCCUUCGUAUUUCCAUUUGGAAUUUUACAUACUUGGCUAUGAAAUUUGCCAUAUCAGUCUGUGAGAUGUAGGGGUCUUUGAAACUGGCAGUAAAUAUGUAAACCACUUGGUGCUUCUGGGCUGCAACUUAGUAGUAGUGAGUUGAUGUCAUGAUCACAUACUUUUUCAAAAAUUAGGAAUCACGUAUCUAUGAGCUUAUUGCCGUACGAAUUCAUAUUUGUGACUCUAGAGCUCAUCAUUUAUUUUUCUCGUACAGGAUGAUGAUUGGAUCUUUGAGGAUUUUGUUUAGAAGGAUUG
rnacentral:lncRNA from 1 species